CCCUAAUUCCGAAUCUGAAACCCACUUCCCUCUCCCUCCAUCGGAAAAAGUGGCGCUUCUACUGUUUUUCUCCGAUCGGCCAUUGACUGAGAAGACGUUGACAGGGAAGACCAAUAAGAGGAAGUAACGGCCACCUACCGCCAUUGAUUUCUGCAUUGAGUCCUCCAUUGAUAUUGCCGCUACGCCACCUCUCACCGCCAUAUACGAGGAAGCAACGGCCACCAGAAGGGUGUUGAUUCAUCAUUGGUGGCAGCUAGACGUGGAUAGCAUAUAUAUCGCCCAUGAUAAGGAUAAAGCAACUGAAUCAUCCUUGAAGAAUAAUACAACUUCAGCUUCUCCAUUGAACUUGGCUGCAUAUUCUCAAGCCGUUAAUCACUGCGACUGCAGUAACUGCAUGAAUUCUUGAGGGGUUUAAAACCACUGGGAAGCUAAAAAAAAUCGCCAUGAAGUACCCAGUUUCCAGUAGUGCUUAAGUUAGAGGUCUCAAAUUGUGUUGACAAGAUAUGUGAAACCUUGUUUGCAACUGAUGUGCACCCAAAUCAGUGGAUCCUUUACUUGCGUAGAAAAGGCAAUCAACACAAGGAUGGAAAACAAGCAAAUCAAGCUACAGAUUUGGGAAAGCAAGCAAAUCAAGCAGCAAAGAUAUAGAUCAUAAAUCUGGGGAUUCAGCAGAAAAUCAGUUUCACAAUUUAUUCCAUUUACUAUAUUUUAGCAUUACAUUAUAGUAUAAGUUGUAAUCUCUUCCUUAGGAAGAGGCAUCGAAUAAUCUAUCUAGCAAACAUAGUUCUCUGUAGCUGGGCAAGGAUUGGAAUUCUUGCUCGAGGUUUUCAAUUGGCAUCCUUGUUCUUAUUUCUUCUGAUUCGAUAAAAGCAGUUAACUUCUUUCCCUCUUC